rfam:Triticum aestivum genome assembly, contig: Triticum_aestivum_CS42_TGACv1_scaffold_224587_3B
CUUCUACCCCCUCCGUCCCAAAAUUCUUGUCUUACAUUUGUCUAGAUAUGGAUGUAUAUAGCACUAAAAUGUAACUAGAUACAUCCGUAUUUAGACAAAUCUAAGACAAGAAUUUUGGGACGGAGGGAGUACUUC